rnacentral:rRNA from 1 species
AUUGAACGCUGGCGGCACGCUUUACACAUGCAAGUCGAACGGCAGCAUGGGUGCUUGCACCUGAUGGCGAUUGGCGAACGGGUGAGUAAUGUAUCGGAACAUAUCCUCAAGGGGGGGAUAACGUAGCGAAAGUUACGCUAAUACCGCAUAUUCCCUGAGGGGGAAAGGAGGGGAUCCGCAAGGACCUUUCGCUUACGGAGUGGCCGAUAUCAGAUUAGCUAUUUGGUGAGGUAAAGGCUCACCAAGGCGACGAUCUGUAGCGGGUCUGAGAGGAUGAUCCGCCACACUGGGACUGAGACACGGCCCAGACUCCUACGGGAGGCAGCAGUGGGGAAUUUUGGACAAUGGGCGCAAGCCUGAUCCAGCCAUGCCGCGUGAGUGAAGAAGGCCUUCGGGUUGUAAAGCUCUUUCAGCUGGAAAAAAAUCGCUUCACCUAAUACGUGGAGUGGAUGAUGGUACCAGCAGAAGAAGCACCGGCUAACUACGUGCCAGCCGCCGCGGUAAUAC